AGUCUUGUAUUCAAUUAUGAUUUUAAAUUGCAAAUUUAACGGUGGGGGUACCCUAAGGCUU
rnacentral:tRNA from 1 species